UACGGAGGGUGCAAGCGUUAUCCGGAUUCACUGGGUUUAAAGGGUGCGUAGGUGGGUCUGUAAGUCAGUGGUGAAAUCUCCAAGCUUAACUUGGAAACUGCCGUUGAUACUAUAGACCUUGAAUGCUGUGGAGGUGAGCGGAAUAUGUCAUGUAGCGGUGAAAUGCUUAGAUAUGACAUAGAACACCAAUUGCGAAGGCAGCUCACUACCCAGAUAUUGACACUGAGCCACGAAAGCGUAGGGAUCAAACAGG
rnacentral:rRNA from 1 species